UCUUAUGUCCAUACCAAAGCCUAAACUGGAUGAUAUCGAGUAAAUAGACAAAUCUUUCGGUAUAAAAGCAACCCCAAAACCAACUUGAAAUUCAUGCAUAAAAUAGAAAAGAUAAAAUAAGCAACAACUAAGUACAUCUCGACACAAAUCCAAGCUUGCGUUACCAACUUAUUUGGUAAUUUUCACCUCUUGCUUCCAAUAAUUGACCAACCAUAAAAUGUCGAUCAUGAUGAAACCAUGCUCACUGGUCGCUGUCUUCUUGGUCUUCGUGGUCACGCUGACUUGGAUGUUUCCUCCGGCGGAGGGCAUGUGUGCCCGGCACUACCCGCACCGAGGCUGCCAGUGUCAGUGCGGGGGUGAACUGAACGGUCACUGUCACUGCCCGUUCGGCGGACAAAUUCCGGGCGUUUAUUGCCGAAAUGGCGGAAACCAUAUGAUUUGCUUCCCUUGGGCUGGUGGAGGAUGCCCGUUUCCCAGAUGCUACGAAUAACUAUUUGGAUCAGAAAUACAUACAUGUAUAAUUCCUUAUAAAUAUAUUCAACAAAUUUCACAGAAAAUAUGUUCUUCAAAAUUUUA